rnacentral:rRNA from 1 species
UGAGGAAUAUUGGGCAAUGGGGGCAACCCUGACCCAGCGACGCCGCGUGGGGGAAGACGGCCUUCGGGUUGUAAACCUCUUUUGUACGGGAAGAAGGAAGUGACGGUACUGUACGAAUAAGUCCCGGCUAACUACGUGCCAGCAGCCGCGGUAAUACGUAGGGGACGAGCGUUGUCCGGAAUUACUGGGCGUAAAGGGCGCGCAGGCUGUGCUGCAAGUCAGCUGUUAAAUGUCUGGGCUUAACCCGGGCAUGCGGUUGAGACUGCGGUGCUGGAGUGCUCUAGAGGCAAGUGGAAUUCCCAGUGUAGCGGUGAAAUGCGUAGAUAUUGGGAAGAACACCGGUGGCGAAGGCGACUUGCUGGGCAGCAACUGACGCUGAGGCGCGAAAGCCAGGGGAGCAAACGGG